rnacentral:rRNA from 1 species
UACGAAGGGGGCUAGCGUUGUUCGGAUUUACUGGGCGUAAAGCGCACGUAGGCGGAUAGUUAAGUGCGGGGUGAAAUCCCAGGGCUCAACCCUGGAACUGCCUUUCAUACUGGCUAUCUAGAGUCCGGAAGAGGUGAGUGGAACUCCUAGUGUAGAGGUGGAAUUCGUAGAUAUUAGGAAGAACACCAGUGGCGAAGGCGGCUCACUGGUCCGGUACUGACGCUGAGGUGCGAAAGCGUGGGGAGCAAACAGG